UACGGAGGGUGCAAGCGUUGUCCGGAAUCACUGGGCGUAAAGGGCGCGUAGGCGGCUCAUGAAGGCUGUGGUGAAAGUCCGGGGCUCAACCUCGGAUCGGCCGUGGCGACUCGUGGGCUGGAGCACUGUAGAGGCGGGUGGAAUUCCGGGUGUAGCGGUGGAAUGCGUAGAUAUCGGGAGGAACACCUGUGGCGAAAGCGGCUCACUGGACCAUUACUGACGCUGAUGCACGAAAGCUAGGGGAGCAAACAGG
rnacentral:rRNA from 1 species